GGACCUUUGUGGCGCUGGCCCGCGGGGCGCGCGGCUUGGCUGGGACUUUUCUCGCGCCGCGCCACUGGGCCUUCGGCUAUGGCGCGGAAGUCGAAACUGCCUUUUCUUCUCCUGCCGCUCGUCCUGGGCAUCCCCCUGGCGCAGGGCUCCAGUGUCCUGCCCCUGGUCAUCAACACUUGGGCUUUUAAGAAUGCUACCGAAGCAGCAUGGCGGACAUUAGCGUCUGGAGGUUCUGCCCUGGAUGCAGUUGAGAGUGGCUGUGCUAAGUGUGAGAUGGAGCGUUGUGAUGGCACUGUCGGCUUUGGAGGAAGUCCUAAUGAACGUGGGGAAACCACCCUGGAUGCCAUGAUCAUGGAUGGCACUACUAUGGAUGUGGGAGCAGUAGGAGGCCUCCGAAGAAUUAAAAAUGCAAUUGGAGUGGCCCGGAAAGUCCUGGAGCACACAACACACACACUUUUAAUAGGGGAGUCAGCCACCAAGUUUGCUGAAAGUAUGGGGUUUACCAGUGAGAAUUUAUCUACCAGUGCCUCGGAAGCCAUGUAUUCAGAUUGGCUUGCUGGGAAUUGCCAGCCUAAUUAUUGGAGAAAAGUAAUACCAGAUCCUUCAAAACACUGUGGACCCUACAAACCAUCUGGUAUUGUGGCUCAGGGUAAUUUUCCCUACAAAGAAGUGGAUGUCCAUGGUCAUGAUACUAUCGGCAUGGUUGUAAUCCAUAAGGAUGGAAGUACUGCUGCGGGCACAUCUACAAAUGGUAUAAAAUUCAAAAUUCCUGGUCGUGUAGGAGAUUCACCAGUACCCGGAGCUGGGGCCUAUGCUAACGACAAGGCCGGGGCCGCUGCAGCCACAGGGGACGGCGACAUACUACUCCGCUUUCUGCCCAGCUACCAAGCUGUAGAAUAUAUGAGAAAAGGAGUUGAUCCCACCGUAGCUUGCCAAAAAGUGAUUUCAAGAAUUCGGAAACAUUAUCCAGGAUUCCUUGGGGCUGUUAUAUGUGCCAAUGUGACGGGAAGUUAUGGUGCUGCUUGCAACAAACUUCCAACAUUUACUCAAUUUAGUUUCAUGGUUUAUAAUCCUCUACGAAGUCAGUCAACUGAAGAAAAAGUAGACUGCCUCUAAUCUGUCUUGUCUGUCAGCAUGUGAAUUUAAAGAGGAACGAAACGAAGGCGGGAAAGUUGCUCACUGACAUCAUGUAGUGGUCUUCAUUUCUUUCAAGUUCAUGUAUUUCCAUAUCAACUGUCCACUGACAAGUACAGAGACACCGUAUGUCUUAAUUUCUCAAGAUUAUUAUGUACUCCAAAAUCAUUGCUUUAAUCUGUAGUCAUUAAUAAGAUGAAUGUUUUAUAUUGUUAUCAAACCUUACUACUGUUUUCUUUUUUAAUAUGUAUAACUUGCUAUUUACUAUUUGUUACCUGUUGAGAAUGAGUAAUCCAUGUUAAUCGUCCUCAGGCCAGUCUGCAUAUCACAAUUAUUUGGGAAGCUACUUUCAAAAUAUCCUCUAUCAGCGCAGAGUUUGCUGGACUUCAGUUUGAUCCCAGUUUAAUAACAAUGCUUGAACUACAUGAAAUACUAAAUAAUUUUAACCCAGUUUAGUAACAGUACUUUAAUAAAGGAAGUGUUUCAUGUCAGAAAAGGCAAAGACCUAGAUUAUUUCCCCAGAGGAUUCAGAUGAACUCUACUCAGGUGUUUUAUAUGUCCAACACGGUAGGCAACGAGAAAACUAUAGACCUCACUCUGUCAUAAAACUUUUGAUAAUUUCACAUUCUUCAUUGAUUUGCGUUGACUCACAUUGGAAUAAUUUCCUAUGACUAUUGCACUAAAGACUCCUUAUAGGUUGAUUUUAUUUCUGCUAGCCCAGUAUAAGCUAGUCCCCAAGAAUCCUGUGCAGAACACAUUGCCAGCUCCACGUCCCCUGCUCGUGCUGCCUGCGCUCUUGUUCUCUCUGAUUUGCUACAAGCGAGUUAACUGGUUCUGGCAAUGAGUUUUAAGUGAAUUUGGAAUGUGAGACCUUCCCAGAUUCUUUCGUAUUUUGUCAAGCAUGACAACAUACUGAUUGCUGCUCUCAGCUACCUGUGUCCUUGAAAACUAUAAUGAGCAGACAUCCAUGACAGUACCCCGUAGACAUAAAUUAUGAUCCAGUAUAGACUAUCCUGACUCUUACAUAAAAUACACCAAUCUGUUAAGGAGUUUUGUGGACAUUACUAAAAUAAUAAGAGAAUUUAAAACCUCAAAAUGAAUUUUUUUUCUGGUUAGACUAGAAAGGUGCUGAUUUAAAAAAAAUGAGUAAAAAAAUGUUUUUAAAUUAUUGGGGCAGUUGCAGAUGAUAUUUUCCUAAGGAAUCUUUCAUAUUUUUUCAAAGAAGCCCAUACGCCUAUAUCCUGUGAUUCCUGACAUUCGGACUUUCAUGGUACCUGCCAUGUACGCAUUCAGGAACUGUGUUCAAGGAUGUUUCUAGAGCAAACAUUUUACAAGACAGAUAGCUCCCUCCUGUGAGACGGCAUAUUUGUUUGCUGUCUAAUACCACACUGUUUCUCUGUGAAGCAAACGACAGGUGGGUUCGUUUGCAGCCCCUAAUCGAAGAUUGAGAUGCCCUAAGACUUGAUGUGAGACACUUACAUUGUGAGAGUCUUUCUGGAAUAAGCACUCUGCCAUCAGUGAGAGUGAAAGAGAGGAGUGCCCCAGUGGACUGAAGCCAGGCUAGUCCCCCAAGGCCUUCGUGCCAGGUCCUGUAUGGAUCUCAUUUUGUACUCUAAAACCACACAGUGGGGUGGCAAGCAAACCCUUUGUCUCUGACGACAUGUCUUCCAUGGUUUCUGUCAGCUUCGAGGACAGUGUGACGGGCUGAUUUGUUUGUGGGUGAGAUUGUUAAUUCUGCCUAACUUAGAUUGAGAAGAGCCAGGAGAUAAUGAAAAUAUCCCUUAUUUAUGAAACCCAUCUAAAUUAUCUAAAUGGUAACUAAAUAAAAUAUUCAGAUAGUAACUAAUACAAGUUUUAACAGGUGAUACAAUACUUCGUACUAAAUAUUAGAUAUUUCAUGUAAUUCACAUUUUCUCCUUUUUCAAAAUAUUCUUAGUAGAGCUUGACUUAUUGUAUGGACUUUAAUUAGAAAUAUACAUUUGUACUGUGUGUACAAAAAUAUCAAAACAUCUAUUUUCAAUAUCAAUACUCAAGUGAUUCCUUUUGAAUUUAGAGGGUAAAUCAUAGGUACAAUGUAUUUUAGUUGAUAUUUUAUGCCCAGUAAAUAUGCUUUCAAGGCCCAUAAUUUUGCCAUAUACUUUCAAAGCCCAUAAUUUUAAAUAGUUGAACUUUGUUUUCAAAUGUUGUCAGUUCUUAUAUUCAGUGAUUGAAUUUAGACCUAAGAACCCUAUUAAGCUCAUUUAGUACCUUUAAUAGUACAAUUAAAAUUCAUUUGAAUAUAUCUAUUGGUGACAUUUAUUUUAAUUGGAUAGGAAUUCUGAAAAAUAAAUUAAUGCAUUUAUGUCAUUUUGCUGGUCAAUUUUUGGUUAAGAUCCCAGGCUUUGGUUUGUUUUCUUGAGUGUUAAACUUGUCACAUAUUAUGCAGUAGAUUUUCAACUAUCGUACACAAUUAAAAAAUGAGUUGAUGAGGUCCUCAGAAAUAGAAAUGAUGGUUACUAAGUGUCCUGUGAUAAGUGUUUUCUUAUGUAACCAAGGGUCAGCCAGUUUUUACAAAAGAAAGUCAUAUUUUAGUACUCAGAAAUCACAUCUACUUAAAGGAUAAAAAAUGACCACAUUCAGGGUGGAUAUAAUGGAAGUCGGAGCUGCUAUGCUCAACCUAUUUGCCUCUGAGUUAAAGGGAGGGAAGUUAUUUAUGGUUCUGAUGCACGGAGACUGCAUUAAGAAUUGGUCAUUUGAUUUAAACUUGUGACCUUUCCGAGUGGCACAUUAGAUGUGUUUGCUCAUUUAUUUUCUCUAAUUAAAAUCUUAUUUCUAUAAUGUGAAUGGUAACAUACAAUAUUUUUAAGAAAAUCCGAUCUUAGAAAGAAUGUAAGGCAGCAAAUUUCCUUCUAAUUGCUUGUAAUCGAUCUCAUUUCUUUCUGAUUUGUGCAAAACCCUUGAGCACCAUAAAUGUCAAAAUACUUCUUUCCAUUUCUAAAUAAAACCUGCAUUUUUCAUC